CUUUAUGUCUGAAUGUAGCUGCGUGCUUCCUCAAAAUGGGAGAAUGCAGAAAGUCCAUUGACGCAUGUAAUAAGGUGCAUACUUUGACUUUCUGUUCCGGUGUUUUGGAUUCUUUGGCGGUUGAAUUGAAAGCAUCAUAGGACUUCUCUAAGUUAUAUGCAGGCAUUGCAAUGUUUUGGCUUCAUCUAAGCUUGAACCAACCCUCUGUUGUAUAUUGUUUCUUCUUCUUUUCUGAUCUUUUUCCUUUGAUUAAUGAGAGGUGAUGAUGAUUUGGUAUUCUUUUCUCACCAGAAUGAAUUUUGUUUUAGAAAUAGUAAUACUUUGUGUUUUUUUAUGUAUUAAUUACAUAUUGAAUCGAUGUUUAUGUAUUAAAUUUAAA